rnacentral:tRNA from 6 species
GUGAUCGUAGCUCAGUUGGUAGAGCCCCGGAUUGUGAUUCCGGCCGUCGUGGGUUCGAGUCCCAUCGGUCACCCCA